CUACGGGAGGCAGCAGUAGGGAAUAUUGCAUAAUGGGCGCAAGCCUGAUGCAGCAACGCCGCGUGCGCGAUGAAGGCCUUCGGGUCGUAAAGCGCUUUUCAGAGGGAUGAGGAAGGACAGUACCUCUGGAAUAAGUCUCGGCUAACUACGUGCCAGCAGCCGCGGUAAAACGUAGGAGGCAAGCGUUAUCCGGAUUUACUGGGCGUAAAGCGCGUGCAGGCGGUUUGGCAAGUUGGAUGUGAAAGCUCCCGGCUCAACUGGGAGAGGUCGUUCAAAACUGCCAGACUUGAGGAUGGUAGAGGGAGGUGGAAUUCCGGGUGUAGUGGUGAAAUGCGUAGAUAUCCGGAGGAACACCAGUGGCGAAAGCGGCCUCCUGGACCAUUUCUGACGCUCAGACGCGAAAGCUAGGGGAGCAAACGGGAUUAGAUACCCCUGUAGUCCC
rnacentral:rRNA from 1 species